UACUCCUACGGGAGGCAGCAGUAGGGAAUCUUCCACAAUGGACGAAAGUCUGAUGGAGCAACGCCGCGUGAGUGAAGAAGGGUUUCGGCUCGUAAAACUCUGUUGUUGGAGAAGAACAGGGACUAGAGUAACUGUUAGUCCUUUGACGGUAUCCAACCAGAAAGCCACGGCUAACUACGUGCCAGCAGCCGCGGUAAU
rnacentral:rRNA from 1 species